rnacentral:tRNA from 1 species
UGGCUCAGACGGUAAAGAGUCUGCCUGCAGUGCAGAAGGCCCAGGUUCGAUCCCUGG